AAGGUCUCACUCCUGUCGCCCAGACGAGAGUACAGUGGUGUGAUCUCCACUCAACGCAGCCACCAGAACUUGCUUUGAAAAUGGACACAAUAAAAAAGAAGGAAAUCAUUCCAUUUGCAGCAAUGUGGAUGGAACUGGAGGUCAUUAUGUUAAGUAAAGUAAGCCAAGCACAGAAAGACAAACAUUGCAUGAUCCCACGAAAGAUGAUUUCAUGGCCGUAGAGAGUAUAUGGUGGUUACGAGAGGCUGGGAAGGGUGUGUGUGGGGGGGUGGUGGUGAGGACGAAGAGAGGUUGGUGAAGGGGUACAACCACAGAGUUAGAUAGAAGGAAUGCUUUCUAAUGUUUGACAGAAGAGUAGGGUGACUGCAGUCAACAACAAGGUAUUAUAGUUUUCUAAAUAGCUAGAAAAGGACUUGAAAUGUACUCAACACAUAGAAAUGGUUGGGUGAUGGGUAUGCCAACAUCCUGACUUGAUCAUUACACAUUCUAUGCACAUAACACAAUUUCACAUGUGCCCCACAAAUAUGUACAAAUAGAAUGUAUCAAAAAGUAAAAAAUAAAGGAAGAGAAAGGGCACAGCCCGCCAUGUCCUACAACCCCUUUCUUGCUGUUCCUGAAAUGUCCUCUUUUGUUUU
rnacentral:lncRNA from 1 species